rnacentral:lncRNA from 1 species
CCAGUUCAUCUCUUGGAGCCUUUGAUCCAGGAGAUCCUCUCGAUCAUGAAUCUCGAGUGUCUUCUAGCAGAACGGAGGUAGGAACCCUCCAGGGGUGGAAUCAUGAUCAGACAGAGGGCUCUCCGCCCUCUACUUCUCCUUUCCGACGGAUACAGGGUGACUAGCCCAAGUGGGCUGCCCGAUCACCGAAUUCUGGAACUCUAGUGA